CGCUAAGAAGCUAAACAGGAAACAGCAUUAGCCUUUUAAGCUAAAGAUUGGUGACUCCUAAUCACCCCUAGCGA
rnacentral:tRNA from 1 species